GAAAUGCGAUAAGUAAUGUGAAUUGCAGAAUUCAGUGAAUCAUCGAAUCUUUGAACGCACAUUGCGCCCGCCAGUAUUCUGGCGGGCAUGCCUGUUCGAGCGUCAUUUCAACCCUCAGGCCCCCAGUGCCUGGCGUUGGGGAUCGGCGUGGGCCGGGGCUGUCCUCCGGGACGGUCCCCGCGCCUGCCGGCCCCGAAAUUCAGUGGCGGUCUCGCUGUAGUCCCCCUCUGCGUAGUAGCACAACUCGCAUUGGAGCUCGGCGGUGGCCAUGCCGUAAAACACCCCACUUCUGAAAGUUGACCUCGGAUCAGGUAGGAAUACCCGCUGAACUUAAGC
rnacentral:misc_RNA from 1 species